rnacentral:rRNA from 1 species
UUCGCCCUUUUCCGGUUGAUCCUGCCGGACCUGACUGCUAUCGGAUUGAUACUAAGCCAUGCGAGUCAUUGUAGCAAUACAAGGCAGACGGCUCAGUAACGCGUAGUCAACCUACCCUAUGGACGGGAAUAACCUCGGGAAACUGAGUAUAAUGCCCGAUAGAACAUUAUGCCUGGAAUGGUUUGUGUUCCAAAUGAUUUAUCGCCGUAGGAUGGGACUGCGGCCUAUCAGUUUGUUGGUGAGGUAAUGGCCCACCAAGACUAUUACAGGUACGGGCUCUGAGAGGAGUGGCCCGGAGAUGGGUACUGAGACACGGACCCAGGCCCUAUGGGGCGCAGCAGGCGAGAAAACUUUGCAAUGUGCGAAAGCACGACAAGGUUAAUCCGAGUGGUUUGUGCUAAACGAACCUUUUGU